rnacentral:rRNA from 1 species
GACGAACGCUGGCGGCGUGCUUAACACAUGCAAGUCGAACGGAAAGGCCCUGCUUUUGUGGGGUGCUCGAGUGGCGAACGGGUGAGUAACACGUGAGUAACCUGCCCUUGACUUUGGGAUAACUUCAGGAAACUGGGGCUAAUACCGGAUAGGAGCUCCUGCUGCAUGGUGGGGGUUGGAAAGUUUCGGCGGUUGGGGAUGGACUCGCGGCUUAUCAGCUUGUUGGUGGGGUAGUGGCUUACCAAGGCUUUGACGGGUAGCCGGCCUGAGAGGGUGACCGGCCACAUUGGGACUGAGAUACGGCCCAGACUCCUACGGGAGGCAGCAGUGGGGAAUAUUGCACAAUGGGCGGAAGCCUGAGGCAGCAACGCCGCGUGCGGGAUGACGGCCUUCGGGUUGUAAACCGCUUUCGCCUGUGACGAAGCGUGAGUGACGGUAAUGGGUAAAGAAGUACCGGCUAACUACGUG